UACAGAGGGGGCAAGCGUUAUUCGGAAUUAUUGGGCGUAAAGGGCGCGUAGGCGGCUUUGCAAGUGACGGGUGAAAUCCCUCGGCUUAACCGAGGAACUGCCUGUCAGACUGCAUGGCUUGAGACCGGGAGAGGUGAGUGGAAUUCCCAGUGUAGCGGUGAAAUGCGUAGAUAUCAGGAGGAACACCGGUGGCGAAGGCGGAUCUCUGGGCCUUACCUGACGCUGAGGCGCGAAAGCUAGGGGAGCAAACAGG
rnacentral:rRNA from 1 species